UUUCUGAUCUUAUGUUAUACUUGUAGUUUUGCUUCUUGGUGCUACUGCUAGUGAAGCCUUUUAUUUUUUUUUUUUUUUUUCAGGAUGUUUUGGUGCAAAUUAGAGAUUUACUACCCAUUGGGAAGGUUCAAAUUUGCAAUGUGGAUGGAUUGAAUUCUCAAGGGGGUGUUUCUAAUGAAUGUGAGAAGCUCAAAGGAAUGGUUGAAUACAUGGGUACAUGAGAGUGAAAGCAAGUGCGGCGUAAGGUGCAAGUAUCAAGCCAAAAGAUUGGGUGAGAAAGUGUGUCAUUUGGGUGUGAGGUGGUGGAUGUGCAAGUGGUUCGGGUUUGGGUAUUCAAACUCUCAGUUCUUUUUUUGGUAAUCAUUUAUCUCUCAUAGUGAAGACGGCUCCACAAGUGAGUGUAGGUUAUGUUUUACUAGACAACAUAGAUAUUGUGUCUUCUUUGAUCAAAAGCCUUGGAUGGAAAACAUACUCGUUUUCUGUACUCCCUCUCAAAAUUCUGUCCACUUGUCUGAUAAGAUUGAUUCAGUCUCAACACUAAACAUGUUAUGAGUUGGUGUGGUCCCAUUCAUGCCCAAUUUGGGAAAAUAAGUCAUAGGGCAAAAUACUAUAUUUGGUUGCACGUUGCAACAUACAUUACUCAGACAUACUGUUUGAUUUCUUCACUGUUAAUCUGUAUUAUUAUGGUUAUUUUGUUUUCAUCGCUUUGGUAUUCAUCAUGCUCAGUCUACAAUGUGAUCAGGAAUUAGCUUGCAUACUGAACAAUUUUCAGCCUUCAGGGAAAGUGUGCCUGAUAUAGAAGCUGCCACUACGAAGAUGGAAUUGAAGAUUAGGCGAGAUCUAUUGAAUAUAGAAAUUAGAGUACAUAUAAUCUUAUUAUUUUAGUAUUAUGUAUAUAAUCUGUGAUUGUGCCAAUCACUGAUUUAAUAUUGUUUCUUUAUUUAUAUCGUUUCCUUAUUUGUAUGAUUUCCUAAAUUAUAUCAUGAAUCUAUUAUAUAUAUAUGGCCUCUACUCCAUUCAUGGGUAAGCCAAAUAAUUUUUUUCA